rnacentral:snRNA from 1 species
CCCUCCCCAGCUCCCCUUUUUUUUUUUUUUUUUAAUCUUGCACAGGGGCCAUGCUAAUCUUCUCUGUAUUGCUCCAAUUCUAGUAUAUGUACUGCCAAAGCAAGCAC